AGCGAACGCUGGCGGCGUGCCUAACACAUGCAAGUCGAACGUGAAAAGGGAAACCUGAGUAAAGUGGCGUACGGGUGAGUAACGCGUAGGUAAUCUACCCCAGAAUCUGGAAUAACCUGCCGAAAGGCGGGCUAAUACUGGAUAGAGCGAGGGAACUCGUAAGAGAGUUUUUCGGGAAAGGGAGCCCGCAAGGGCCUUCGUUCUGGGAUGAGCCUGCGUCUCAUUAGCUAGUUGGUAAGGUAACGGCUUACCAAGGCGAUGAUGAGUAGCUGGUCUGAGAGGAUGAUCAGCCACACUGGAACUGAAACACGGUCCAGACUCCUACGGGAGGCAGCAGUGGGGAAUCUUGCGCAAUGGACGAAAGUCUGACGCAGCCACGCCGCGUGAGUGAAGAAGGCCUUCGGGUUGUAAAGCUCUGUCGGAUGGGACAAACAUCUUCAUAGUGAAUAGCUAUGAGGACUGACGGUACCAUCAAAGGAAGCACCGGCUAACUCCGUG
rnacentral:rRNA from 1 species